rnacentral:rRNA from 1 species
GACGAACCGUGCGAACGUUAUUCGGAAUCACUGGGCUUAAAGCGCGUGUAGGCGGGGCGGCACGUCGGUCGCUGAAAGCCCCCGGCUCAACCGGGGAAGCGGCGCCGAUACGACCGCCCUGGAGGGACGUAGGGGGACCUGGAACUUCCGGUGGAGCGGUGAAAUGCGUAGAGAUCCGGAGGAACACCGACGGCGAAGGCAGCCUUCUGGAAAGUACCUGACGCUGAGGGGCGAAAGCUAGGGGAGCAAACGGG